UGCAGUCGAGCGGAACGAUCCUAGCUUGCUAGGAGGCGUCGAGCGGCGGACGGGUGAGUAAUGCAUAGGAAUCUGCCCGGUAGUGGGGGAUAACUUGAGGAAACUCAAGCUAAUACCGCAUACGCCCUACGGGGGAAAGCAGGGGCUCUUCGGACCUUGCGCUAUCGGAUGAGCUUAUGUCGGAUUAGCUGGUUGGUGAGGUAACGGCUCACCAAGGCGACGAUCCGUAGCUGGUCUGAGAGGAUGAUCAGCCACAUCGGGACUGAGACACGGCCCGAACUCCUACGGGAGGCAGCAGUGGGGAAUAUUGGACAAUGGGGGCAACCCUGAUCCAGCCAUGCCGCGUGUGUGAAGAAGGCCCUCGGGUUGUAAAGCACUUUCAGCGAGGAAGAAUGCUUGUCGGUUAAUACCCGGCAAGGGAGACAUCACUCGCAGAAGAAGCACCGGCUAACUCCGUGCCAGCAGCCGCGGUAAUACGGAGGGUGCGAGCGUUAAUCGGAAUUACUGGGCGUAAAGCGUGCGUAGGCGGCUUGAUAAGCCGGUUGUGAAAGCCCCGGGCUCAACCUGGGAACGGCAUCCGGAACUGUUAGGCUAGAGUGCAGGAGAGGAAGGUAGAAUUCCCGGUGUAGCGGUGAAAUGCGUAGAGAUCGGGAGGAAUACCAGUGGCGAAGGCGGCCUUCUGGACUGACACUGACGCUGAGGUACGAAAGCGUGGGUAGCAAACAGGAUUAGAUACCCUGGUAGUCCACGCCGUAAACGAUGUCGACUAGCCGUUGGGGUCCUCGAGACCUUUGUGGCGCAGUUAACGCACUAAGUCGACCGCCUGGGGAGUACGGCCGCAAGGUUAAAACUCAAAUGAAUUGACGGGGGCCCGCACAAGCGGUGGAGCAUGUGGUUUAAUUCGAUGCAACGCGAAGAACCUUACCUACCCU
rnacentral:rRNA from 1 species